UGGGCCUUAGCUCAGCUGGGAGAGCACCUGCUUUGCAAGCAGGGGUCGUCGGUUCGAUCCCGACAGCUCCACCA
rnacentral:tRNA from 1 species